rnacentral:rRNA from 1 species
UAGGGAAUCUUCCACAAUGGGCGAAAGCCUGAUGGAGCAAUGCCGCGUGAAUGAAGAAGGCCUUCGGAUCGUAAAGUUCUGUUAUUAGAGAAGAACAAGUCAAGGAGUAACUGUCUUGACUUUGACGGUACCUAACCAGAAAGUCACGGCUAACUACGUGCCAGCAGCCGCGGUAAAUACGUAGGUGACAAGCGUUGUCCGGAAUUAUUGGGCGUAAAGGGAGCGCAGGCGGUUGGAAUAGUCUGAUGUGAGAGCCCACGGCUUAACCGUGGAAUUGCAUUGGAAACUGUCCAACUUGAAUGCAGAAGAGGAAAGCGGAAUUCCAUGUGUAGCGGUGAAAUGCGUAGAUAUAUGGAGGAACACCAGUGGCGAAGGCGGCUUUCUGGUCUGUGAUUGACGCUGAGGCNCGGGAAGCGUGGGGAGCGAACAGGAUUAGAUACCCUGGUAGUCCAUGCCGU